rnacentral:lncRNA from 1 species
AUAGUUCACUACAGCCUUGAACUCCUGAGGUCAAACGAUACUCCUUCCUCAGCCUCUUGAGCAGCUGGGGCUAUAGGCACGUACCACCAUGCCCAGCUGAUUUUUUUAAAAAAAAUUUUCAUAGAGACAUGCAUACAUGUCCAUACACACAGCACUGAGAAAGCCUUAAACAAUGACACACAUGUAACAAUAAGUAUAUCUAGUACCUAAUUGUGUCUUAUAAACAUCAUUGUUUGCCAAAAGCCAGGUCUCCAUGGAGAGGAGGAAUACAAGACGAUCCUGAGGUAUCUCAUGCUGAAAAGUAAGAACAUUCUUAAAGAAUGAGAAAGCAUAUCAAAAGGACAAAAAGGCAGCUUGAAGGAGCUCCCACAUGUCAAAUCUAGGACAAUGGAUAAAAUCAACUGCUGUUAACUAUAGUAGGUUCUGGUGCACAUGUGAAGAACAUACAGGAUUGCUGCAUAGAAAGCCAAGAUUUCGCCAUGCUGGUGAGGCUGGUCUUGAAUUUCUGACCCCAGACGAUCCACCCACCUCGGCCUCCCAAAGUG